GACGAACGCCGGCGGCGUGCUUAACACAUGCAAGUCGAGCGGUAAGGCCCUUUCGGGGGUACACGAGCGGCGAACGGGUGAGUAACACGUGGGUGACCUGCCCUCAGCUCUGGGAUAAGCCUGGGAAACCGGGUCUAAUACCGGAUAUGACUCCAUGACGCAUGUUGUGGGGUGGAAAGCCUUGUGCGGCUGAGGAUGGGCCCGCGGCCUAUCAGCUUGUUGGUGGGGUGAUGGCCUACCAAGGCGACGACGGGUAGCCGGCCUGAGAGGGCGACCGGCCACACUGGGACUGAGACACGGCCCAGACUCCUACGGGAGGCAGCAGUGGGGAAUCUUGCGCAACGGGCGAAAGCCUGACGCAGCGACGCCGCGUGAGGGAUGACGGCCU
rnacentral:rRNA from 1 species